UACAGAGGUCUCAAGCGUUGUUCGGAUUCAUUGGGCGUAAAGAGCGCGCAGGCGGCUUGGCAAGUCGGGUGUGAAAUCCCGGGGCUCAACCCCGUGACUGCAUCCGAUACUGUCAGGCUAGAGGUAGGUAGGGGAGAUCGGAAUUCCUGGUGUAGCGGUGAAAUGCGCAGAUAUCAGGAGGAACACCGGUGGCGAAGGCGGAUCUCUGGGCCUUACCUGACGCUCAGGCGCGAAAGCUAGGGGAGCGAACAGG
rnacentral:rRNA from 1 species